rnacentral:rRNA from 1 species
GAACGCUGGCGGCAGGCCUCAACACAUGCAAGUCGAGCGGCAGCACGGGAAGCUUGCUUCCUGGUGGCGAGCGGCGGACGGGUGAGUAAUGCAUAGGAAUCUGCCCGGUAGUGGGGGAUAACCUGGGGAAACCCAGGCUAAUACCGCAUACGUCCUACGGGAGAAAGCAGGGGCUCUUCGGACCUUGCGCUAUCGGAUGAGCCUAUGUCGGAUUAGCUGGUUGGUGAGGUAAUGGCUCACCAAGGCGACGAUCCGUAGCUGGUCUGAGAGGAUGAUCAGCCACAUCGGGACUGAGACACGGGCCGAACUCCUACGGGAGGCAACAGUGGGGAAUAUUGGACAAUGGGCGCAAGCCUGAUCCAGCCAUACCGCGUGUGUGAAGAAGGCCUUCGGGUUGUAAAGCACUUUCAGUGGGGAAGAAAGCCUUCCGGUUAAUACCCGGGAGGAAGGACAUCACCCACAGAAGAAGCCCCGGCUAACUCCGUGCCAGCAGCCGCGGUAAUACGGAGGGUGCGAGCGUUAAUCGGAAUUACUGGGCGUAAAGCGCGCGUAGGUGGCUUGAUAAGCCGGUUGUGAAAGCCCCGGGCUCAACCUGGGAACGGCAUCCGGAACUGUCAGGCUAGAGUGCAGGAGAGGAAGGUAGAAUUCCCGGUGUAGCGGUGAAAUGCGUAGAGAUCGGGAGGAAUACCAGUGGCGAAGGCGGCCUUCUGGACUGACACUGACACUGAGGUGCGAAAGCGUGGGUAGCAAACAGGAUUAGAUACCCUGGUAGUCCACGCCGUAAACGAUGUCGACUAGCCGUUGGGUCCUUCGCGGACUUUGUGGCGCAGUUAACGCGAUAAGUCGACCGCCUGGGGAGUACGGCCGCAAGGUUAAAACUCAAAUGAAUUGACGGGGGCCCGCACAAGCGGUGGAGCAUGUGGUUUAAUUCGAUGCAACGCGAAGAACCUUACCUACCCUUGACAUCCUGCGAACCCUUCGGAGACGAAGGGGUGCCUUCGGGAACGCAGAGACAGGUGCUGCAUGGUUGUCGUCAGCUCGUGUUGUGAAAUGUUGGGUUAAGUCCCGUAACGAGCGCAACCCUUGUCCUUAUUUGGCAGCGAGUAAUGUCGGGAACUCUAAGGAGACUGCCGGUGACAAACCGGAGGAAGGUGGGACCGACGUCAAAGUCAUCCAUGGCCCUUACGGGUAGGGCUACACACGUGCUACAAUGGUCGGUACAAAGGGUUUCGAACUUGCGAAAGUAAGCUAAUCCCAUAAAGCUGAUCUCAGUCCGGAUCGGAGUCUGCAACUCGACUCCGUGAAGUCGGAAUCGCUAGUAAUCGUGAAUCAGAAUGUCACGGUGAAUACGUUCCCGGGCCUUGUACACACCGCCCGUCACACCAUGGGAGUGGACUGCACCAGAAGUGGUUAGCCUAACCUUCGGGAGGGCGAUCACCACGGUGUGGUUCAUGACUGGGCUGAAGUCGUAACAAGGUAUCCGU